rnacentral:misc_RNA from 1 species
AAAAGUCGUAACAAGGUCUCCGUUGGUGAACCAGCGGAGGGAUCAUUAUCGAGUUUACAACUCCCAAACCCCUGUGAACAUACCUAUCGUUGCUUCGGCGGGAUCGCCCCGGCGCCCUCGGGCCCGGACCCAGGCGCCCGCCGGAGGACCCAAACUCUUGUUUUUAUCUAGUAUCUUCUGAGUAAACAAGCAAAUAAAUUAAAACUUUCAACAACGGAUCUCUUGGUUCUG